rnacentral:rRNA from 1 species
UACGGGGGGGAGCAAGCGUUGUUCGGAUUUACUGGGCGUAAAGGGCGCGUAGGCGGCCAGCACAAGUCAGUUGUGAAAUCUCCGAGCUUAACUCGGAAAGGUCAACUGAUACUGUGCGGCUAGAGUGCAGAAGGGGGCAACUGGAAUUCUUGGUGUAGCGGUGAAAUGCGUAGAUAUCAAGAGGAACACCUGAGGUGAAGACGGGGUUGCUGGGCUGACACUGACGCUGAGGCGCGAAAGCUAGGGUAGCAAACGGG